GAUGAACGCUGGCGGCGUGCCUAAUACAUGCAAGUCGAGCGAACGGACGAGAAGCUUGCUUCUCUGAUGUUAGCGGCGGACGGGUGAGUAACACGUGGAUAACCUACCUAUAAGACUGGGAUAACUUCGGGAAACCGGAGCUAAUACCGGAUAAUAUUUUGAACCGCAUGGUUCAAAAGUGAAAGACGGUCUUGCUGUCACUUAUAGAUGGAUCCGCGCUGCAUUAGCUAGUUGGUAAGGUAACGGCUUACCAAGGCAACGAUGCAUAGCCGACCUGAGAGGGUGAUCGGCCACACUAGAACUUAGACAAGGUCCAGACUACUACGGGAGGCUGCAGUAGGGAAUCUUCCGCAAUGGGCGCAGGCCUGACGGAACAACGCCGCGUGAGUGAUGAAGGUCUUCGGAUCGUAAAACUCUGUUAUUAGGGAAGAACAUAUGUGUAAGUACCUGUGCACAUCCUGACGGUACCUAGUCAGAAAGCCACGGCUAACUCCGUG
rnacentral:rRNA from 1 species